rfam:Ovis aries breed Texel chromosome 5, whole genome shotgun sequence.
CCCUGGUGGUUCAGAUGGUAAGAAAUCUGCCUGCAAUGCAGGAGACCCAGGUUCAAUUCAUGGGUCAGGAA